UGAGGAACUUGGGCGCAUCCACGUG
rnacentral:piRNA from 1 species